AUUAAAUAAAACUAACGCUUUUGUAUAAGUUCAAGAAUAGGGCUUGAACGUUUCUACCAGGCUGCCGUAAAUAGCCUGACUACAAAGGAUAGUGGAGAUGUU
rnacentral:ncRNA from 2 species